AUCCCUAUAGCUUAAUUGGAUAGAGUAUGAGAUUUCUAAUCUUACGAUGAGGGUUCGAUUCCUUCUGGGGAUACCA
rnacentral:tRNA from 1 species